UCUCUCGCGAUUUUUUCUCUCUUCCUCUCUCGAUCUCCAAACUUUACGCUCUUCAUUUUUCUUCGAAUUUCCGAAAUUUUUGUUGCACACUUAGGUAUAAUGUGUCAACUAAUAGCUACAAUUACACUUGAUUUCUUCGCAAUAUCAAAAUUUCUAACGUUUUACAUUGAUUUCCAACUUCAAUUUGGGAGGUCGUGUAGAUUUUGCUGCAAAUUUUGGGCUCCAUAGAGAUGAUGCGAGCAACAAUUUGAGAUUAAGCUUGAAUUCAUCGGUAUUAUUGUAUGAUUUAGAUUCCUUCCAAAAAAUUUCAAUGACAGAGUCAGCUGCCUAAUGGUACUGGUUAGGUUGACAUGGUUGGGGAUGGUUGGGGUGCUACUAUGAAACAAGCCAGUAGAUUUGAAAUACGAGCUAGAGCAUCUUAUUAUCUUGACAGCCAGUAGAUGUCUCUUGGGCCGAGAAGUUCGUGAUAAGCUCUUUGAGGAUGUGUCUUCCCUAUUAUGAUCUUGAUAAUGGGAUGCUACCCAUUAGUGUUUUGUUUCCCUAUCUUCCCAUCCCAGCUCAUCGCCGCCGUGAUAGAGCCCAUAAGAAGCUCGCAGAGAUUUUCUCAAACAUUAUAGGUUCCCGUAAAUCAUCUGGUAAGCGUGAGACUGAUAAGUUGUAGUGUUUUAUGGACUCAAAGUACAAAGAUGGUCGGGGCACCAAAGAAGGAGAGGUGACAAGUCUGCUGAUUGUUGUAGUGUUCUGGCCAACAUUCAGUGAAGUUGUUUCCAAGUGCUUGCAAGUUUUGUGCGAUCUGAUCAGGAAUGGGGUCUGACUGUUUGGGUGUAGCUAGGUGCUCUAUGUUAUUGUAGAAAUGAAUCAAUUAGCUAGAUUAAAUUGUAUUAAAGUAAAUAAAAAUUGAACAAAAGUAAACUAAAUUUCUCUUAAAGUAAACUAAAUCUCUAAGUAAGCACUUUUCUGAAGUUGGAGAAAAGUAUACAUAAUGAACCUUACUGUAUAAUCUAUGAGCCUUACAAACUUUGAUUACUUCAGGCAGUGAAAGAUGGAGUUGACACCCUGAACUUGUCUGUAGAACCAUAUGAACCAGGAGAAGACACAAUAACUUUCCUUGAUGUAUUUGAAAUCUUCACACUACUCGCAAGAAGAGCAGGGGUUUUUGUGGUACAAGCAGCAGGAAACAAAGGGUCGGACCCUAGCUCCGUGGUAUCCUUCAGUCCUUGGUCUGUAGGAGUCGUUGCUUGCAGCACAUACAGAAGUUACCCUGCUACUCUCUUUCUUGGAAAUGGACAGAGUUGGGUUAUCAGGCAAGUCUGAAUCCUUUAUAAACAUGUAUUUACCGUCAUUGAAGACAUACAUGUAAAUUCUCUGUUUUAUAUAAGACAUUUCUCACAUGUAGGGCCAACCUUUGGAAAUGGGAUACUGAAAUAUAAGCUGCUGCAGUCUGUGCAGUUGAUCUUCAGGUUUUGCUAGCAGUUACUCCGAAAGUAAACUAAAUCUCUGCAAAAGUAAACAGAA